AUGUGUCACCGAUUUCAUGAAUGAAAAAACUCGAAUAAUAAAUUGAAUAAUUUGUUUUAAAAGUAUAUUUUUUUGCUGGGGAAACUAAAUAUUAAUCCGUUCAUAAAUAUUCAAUGGACGUAUUACAAAUAUUUUAGAAGAAUAUGUGUCAUAUAUCCCUUAAACGACAAAACUCGAAACAACAUAAAUCAUUUGUUUGAAGUGACAAACAACCCAAUAGCUGGCACGCGAUACACGUGAUGUUUGAAGGCUUGAGGCGCAAUUUACAUAGUGAAUGAUUUAAGAAUAUUACCCUACAUUGUGAUGCAUUAGUGAAAGACUUGGAUUAAUGGCGAAAUAAUUGACAUGUUGCGUAGUCCAUAGUGCGAACUGGACUUUCAUAUAAGUUGCCCCUUUGUUAGUUACUUUUAUCUGUAAAGGCCGAAAAUGUCGUUAAUUCUUUUUAUGAAUGGGAUUAGAUUAAUCUAAACAUACUUAUAUAGAUCUGAUUGAUCAAUCUAUAUUAACUUGAUUAAAAAAAAAAUUAAUAUGAUUAAGAAGUAGAGUAUUAUAAGUAGCGUCAGCCUUAAUCAGUUUCUUUUUGCAUUUCACCCAUUUUACAUAUAUAUUCAGUUUGAGGCGCCAAUUAAUAAAUUAUUUAGCUCAAUUUACAGCAAAUUCAAUAUACUUAAUUAGAUUAAUAAAUUAGUUUAAUUGUAAGCAUUUAAAUGGAAUACCUAAGUAAAAAACUAAAUAUCAGUUGCAGCAAAAAAGUAUUAGAUAUGAAAAUUAUGUUAUGAAAAAGAUGUAUGAAUAUGCAAUUUU